CUCAAACUGUGUACUUUGUCUUUAAGAGAUAUUGCAAACUGACAAGGUGUUAGAAAUGGAACAUAUUGUUUUUCAUACAUGUUUCUUUAAGCAAUAACCUCUUCAGUGAAUAAUAUAGUUACACCAUUUUGUCCCAGACGAAAUACUAUAACAAUAAUGCAUAUACAAGCUUCAAGGCUAUGCUACGACUCUUUCAGUACAUAAUAUACUGUGGUAACCCUAAGUAGAUAAAGAUGUUCAGACUUUAAGAUGC